CCGGAUUCCAUUUUUAAAACUACAAUAAUUUGUGUAGAGAAAGGGGUCCAGUAUUUUCAUUGAACGGUAAGCGAUAAUAUUGAAUCUGUAACAUCUUGGUUUUUUUGGUACCAGGGAUCAAACUCGGGACCUUGUGCUUGCAAGGCAGGCGCUGGAACCACUGAGCUAAAUCCCCGGCCCACAUCUGUAACAUCUUACCAUAAUCCUUUCCCUCUUUCUAAGCCCUAUGCCUCUUUUUCUUACCUGUAAAGCAUAAAAUGUGACUAUAUUUUACAAAUAGGUACCUAAGCCAGUUUUCACUUUAAAUAACAAAACAGCCCAAAUUUCUUGUUCUCCAAACUAAGCUCUCUUCUCGUGACUCAUAAAGCCAGAGGCUGAAGAUGUAGCUCAGUGGUGAGCAUUUGCCUGACAUGCGCAAGGCCCCAGCAUUUAUCCCCAGCACAGGAAAAAAUGAGUCCAUAUUGAAUACAGUGGCUCUGUAAACAUACCUUCUUUUAUUGCUAUUAUUUAAAUAUGGUAUAAGUUUUCAAUAUUGAACAGUAUCAAAAAAAGAUAGGCACCAUGAGAAAGUAUGUUCUUAGACUUGCUAGAGGUGUAUGUAAGUGCAUUUGUAUGACCUACUAAACAAAACUACCUGACUCUUGUCCAGGGAUGCAGUUUCCAUUUUCAUUUUUUGGUCUGUAUAACCCAAAUUCUACAUGGUCUAUAUUACUGUUGUGUCUGAGUCUCAGAAAGUACUAAUUCUUCACACCAGUGUCUCCUUGUACAAACUUUGGUGUCACCCAUAGGGAUGCAGCCCCCUGCACAAACUGUGUGGUCCUUCAGGUUCUAGGACAAAUCUGCAAUUUUAUAGAUGACUUCUGUGGACCAGGAUGCAGAUUUUGAGAGCUGUGUGUACAUAUUAUAAUCAUGUUUGUAUGUUUCCUCAGCUAUCAUUUAAAUGCUUUUGUUUGAAUGAGUUUCUUUUCAAGGUGGGAUAGGGAUGUAUAUAUAAUUGAGGGAAAAGUUACAUGUACUUUAAAGUUCUUAUUAGGUUCCUGUAUGAGAGAAUCAAAUUUUUUUCACAUACUUAUUCUUUGUGGGAAAAUGCACCUGGGAAGCAUAGUUUAAAUACUGUAUAUAAGAUAAUGAACAUUAGAAGUGCCC
rnacentral:lncRNA from 1 species